UACGAAGGGGGCUAGCGUUGUUCGGAAUUACUGGGCGUAAAGGGCGCGUAGGCGGUACUUCAAGUCAGGCGUGAAAGCCCCGGGCUCAACCUGGGAACCGCGCUUGAGACUGGAGAACUAGAGUUCGGGAGAGGAUGGUGGAAUUCCCAGUGUAGAGGUGAAAUUCGUAGAUAUUGGGAAGAACACCGAUGGCGAAAGGCAGCCAUCUGGACCGACACUGACGCUGAGGCGCGAAAGCGUGGGGAGCAAACAGG
rnacentral:rRNA from 1 species